rnacentral:rRNA from 1 species
AUUGAACGCUGGCGGCAUGCCUUACACAUGCAAGUCGAACGGCAGCACGGGAGCAAUCCUGGUGGCGAGUGGCGAACGGGUGAGUAAUGUAACGGAACGUGCCCAGUCGUGGGGGAUAACGUAGCGAAAGCUACGCUAAUACCGCAUACGAUCUGUGGAUGAAAGCGGGGGACCGUAAGGCCUCGCGCGAUUGGAGCGGCCGAUAUCAGAUUAGGUAGUUGGUGGGGUAAAGGCCUACCAAGCCGACGAUCUGUAGCUGGUCUGAGAGGACGACCAGCCACACUGGGACUGAGACACGGCCCAGACUCCUACGGGAGGCAGCAGUGGGGAAGUUUGGACAAUGGGCGCAAGCCUGAUCCAGCAAUGCCGCGUGCAGGAUGAAGGCCUUCGGGUUGUAAACUGCUUUUGUACGGAGCGAAAAGGCUCUCUCUAAUACAGGGGGCUCAUGACGGUACCGUAAGAAUAAGCACCGGCUAACUACGUGCCAGCCGCCGCAGUAACAC